AUACUGCCGUGAAUACGUUCCCGGGCCUUGUACACACCGCCCGUCACACCAUGAGAGUUGGGAAUACCCGAAGCCUGUGAGCUAACAUUAAGAGGCAGCAGUCGAAGGUAGAAUCAAUGAUUGGGGUGAAGUCGUAACAAGGUAUC
rnacentral:rRNA from 1 species